GAUGAACCGGAAUACAUGUGUGUUA
rnacentral:piRNA from 1 species